CCGACAGUCAACAUAUAUACGAGUAGGUACCCGGCGAAAACGCACGCGAGAAUAUUAAAUGCGGUGUACGCGCGGUGCAGUGCGAGUGUGUAUUUUUCGCGUGUGCGUUUAACAGUUUUAUUUUACCGACAGCGAUUUCGCGCACUAUAUGUUAUAAUAUUACAAUAUUAUAUUAUAAAAUAUAGGUUCGGUGAAAUUUUCUUGUAGAAAAAAAAAAAAACCGUAUUAAUAUUAUUACAGUAUAAUAAACGCGAAGUUUCCCUGAGUGUACCCACCUAUAAAAUACCUACGGAUAGCUACAGAAAAACGUGCGAAUAUAACCAUGUAAACUGAAAAAAAAAAAAAAAUUGUGAGUACAUUUUUAAAACAUAUAACAUAAUAUUAUACUAUGACGUAUAAUAUUUCAUAAUAUCACGCGCGCUCCCGCGUAAGUGACAUUCUCGGCGAUAAUAUUAAUUAUUAUUAUUAUUAUACUUUUUUAGAUUCUUAGCGUAUAACGAGGAAUGUAUUAGGUGUUUUAGUGCUGAAUAAUAUCAUGAUGUGUGCAUUUAUUUUUCCGUCUGUAAAUAAUAACUUCUAUAUUGUUCCGAUCAUCGACUUCGGGGGGUAGUUUAUGGUACAAAUUUUGUCUAGUUUGUGUCAUUCAGGAGGUAAUAGGGAUUUGGGAAAAAUGUCGGAAAAGUGGGAAUAUUUACGCAAUAACGGUUUCGGUUAUUUUCGAUUUUAUUUUUUUGUUGCAAUUCUGUUAGGAAUUCGUAUAGGAAAUCAUAUAGAGACCUGCGAAUUUGUACCGAAUACUUAUAUUGGUCUUUUCUACAGAUGUGGUACAAUUUUCAAAAAAUUCUUUUAUUUUUCGAGUUGUUUGAAUUUGUUUACGUUUUUAGUUUAAUUUAGUGUUUUGUAUGGGUACACAUUUUUUGGCUUCUCAAAAAUGCUCGAAAUUCUGAUACAAAAGUUCAUUAUAAAUUGUUUUUAUGGCUUUAUACAAAUAUCGAAAAUCCAUAGUCCACAUUUUUUUUUAUUAGUGUUUCUAAAGUUCAAAUUUUGAUAAAAACAUGAGAAAAUUUUGGCCUUUUGCAUACUAUUUUCCGAUUUAUGUGAAUAAAAUGUUUGUAGUUCACCAAAAGUACUCAAAACUUUGAGACGAAAAUCAUGGAUAGUCGUAAUUUACUUUGUAGUUAAAUAUUAAUACAAUUAAAUACAUUUGUUAGUUUAUCAAAAAAUUUGUAUAUAGAUAUAAAUUAUAUAUAUACCUUACCUUAUAUAUUCUAUAUAUUAUCUUCCCAACUAUUUCUACCUACAACAGUGUGUUAGUGUUAUACUUUAGGUGCGAUAUAUGUUGGUUAUUUUUUUGUUCUAUCCUAUACUCGGUUUUUCCACACGCGCUUUUAUAAAUGAGUACCUAAACUAAUAUUUUUCAAUACUUACUUGUGUGCUCAACUUCUACCGAUUCGACUGGUCGGCUGCGAGUACAGCUAAAAUAACUUUGCGGAUUCAUUAUUUUGAAUGCCAUAAAUGAUUUUUGUUCACUUAACCGAAUGCUCGAACCAUAUUAUCUUGCACAUAUUCUGCAUUAUAUUAUAAAAUAUAAUUUCAUUCAAAAUCAUCAUCAUUCUUUGUCACCUUCUCAUUCGCCUCCUUUUCUUAAUAUUUGGGGUCAACCGUCACAUCGGACCUAAAUCUCGAAUCAAUAUUGGUCUUCCACCUAUAAUCUAAACUGUUUAAACUAAGCACGAAUUUGUAGUAGUAACUGUGAAAUAUUAAAAUAUUAAAUAAAAUACUGGGUAUAGAGUAAUAAAUUAUUACAGCGGGUACUCUUGGCUAUUAUGUAGUGGGUAGGUCAUAAACUGCCCAAAAUGUGUGUUAAAAUUUAAGAUUUCGAGGCUUGUACAACUCAGAUUUUGUGAAUUUUUUACGUUGGUUUUCUUUUUAAAUUGAUUCAAUGACGAUUGAUCGACGUAUAAUGUGUAUGUGAUUUUUUUUUUAAAAUCUAAUUAGGUAGUUUUUAAAGUCAACCGCAGAAUUAUUUUUUAAAAACUAAAUAUAAUUUUACUAUUAGUUGAAUGUUAGUGACAAAAAUAGUUUAUAUUUUAAAUUUCAAACAAAAUAAUUUUAUCUUUAUUUUUCAUUUUAGAUCUUGAGCAGAGCGAAGAAUGUAUUACUUUAUGUAUUUUGUGUAUAUCAAUUUUGUGUAUUUUGUGUGUUCCAAUCAAAAACUUUAUAGGAACCAUUUAUGUCGAAGUUUUGAUUUAGUUAGUGGAUUAAGAAGAUCAUUUUAUGAUUUUCUUUAUAGUUUUCUUAAUAAAUUGGAAAAACUAGCAAUUGUUGGUAUAAUUUGUAUUGAUUUUGGCAAUAAAGGAAAAAAUAAGUCUACCCGGCUCAGAAUCGUUUUUCGUAAGCAUUGGUUUAUCAUUGCGUACAGAUAUAAAUUAAAGUACUCUAUAUAUCCUCACUUACAAUUUCCUCCCUAAAAAAGUGGCAAAUUCAUCAGCAGUAUCAGCCUUUUUUAAAUUAAAACUGACAAAUCGUUACUCAAUUUAUUGACAUCACUUCUUCUACUCCUUUGCUUUUAUCUUAACUUAUUUAUUAUUGCCAAUAUAAUUACGUUGAUAUGAAUUGUUCUAUAACGUCUGCAAAUUUAUUUGUAAAAAAAUAAUUAUAAUUCAAUUGAUGUAGUGAUCUAUAGUAUAUUAAGAUUUUUCGAGGGGGGGGGGAGGGGUUAUAUGUAAAGUUUGAAUUUCUAUUUCAAAAAUUCUAUUUUAAAUUUCUACAAACUAAUAAGAUUAUAAAAAAUUAUUUAAGUACUUCGAAAAAUGUGGUAGUGUCAAAACCCAAGUAACGAGUGAUUCGCUUUGUUACAAAUUCGGUUCACGUAUUUUUAAAUGAGAAUAAGACAUUUUAUUUUGUAUCUUUUAUUAUUAUUUUUUUUUUGUGUAUUUUAUAGAUAUGUUAUUUUUAAUUUUUAGAGCAUAGCGUAUUUUUAUGUUUUUCAGAGCAUCAUUGGGAUUUUAUGGAGCAUUUAUAUUCCCAGUCUUAGUUUUUAUAUCUAUAUUACAUACUUUAAUAUUCUAAUCUGGAUAUGUUAAAGAUACAUAAUCUCUGUGAUACAAAAUAUAUUUUUAUUUUUUUAGAAUACCCAUCAAUCAAUAUAAAUUGUUGUUCACGGAAGUAUCGUAACAUAAUGUAUUCUUUUUGUAUUAUAAUACAUGAGUAAAUAUAGCUACAGUAUUAUAUCGACCGUAAUCAUGCUUAAAAUAAUGCAUACACACGUCCAUGACUUAAUAUUAUUAUAUCUAUUACCUACUGUAUUAUUAUUAGGUACGCACAUGAACGAAAAGAAUCUAUGUGUAUUUGUUUAUAUAGCCACGAGCAUAAAAUAAUAAUAUAGGUACCUGUAUUUUAUUGUGUCACACCGAGAAGGUAAAAAAAUCAUUAAAAUGUCGAUUGUUGGUGUGUAUGGUAUCCACCUAAAAUAAUGAAUAAUGAUGAUAGUAUAAUGUAUAUAUUUUGUUUUUCAAAAUAUUUUAUACCGUUUCUUUAAUGAAAUUUAAAUUUAAGGAGUCCCGUCACUGCUACUAUUUGUUUUCUCUGUCUCACACGCAAUACACACAAUAAUAUACAUUAAUAAACAAAUAUUAUUAUAGAAAAUGUAUAAUGCAUAUGUAAUUAUACCAUUAUAUGACAUAUAUAUUAUUGACACUAUCAAUCGAACGCUGCACAGAAUCGUUUUUUCGUUAGCAAUGGUUAAUCGUUGUUUAUAGAUAUACGUUAGAUUACUUAUAACAGUAGCUGCACCAGUUAUUCUAGGACAGUUUUUUCUAAUUGAUCGUAACGAUGAGUAUUGGAAUGUGAUUUGAUAUAAACCGAAAAAUUAUUGAAAUCAAGUUUGCCUACAUAUUAUAUUGCCAUGAGAUUUUUUUUUUGACAGAUACGUUCAAGGAUUUUUGAAAAAAUACUACGCCUUAAAAUAUUGACAUACAUAAUAACAAAUAAACGAAUGUCAAUGGCAUGGAUAUUAUUAUAAAUACUGUUAACUUUUAAAAUAAUAAUGAUGGGAUGUAUUUAUGCAGUAAAUAUUGUACAGCGAAAGUUUUUUUCGAUUUUAUAUUUUUAUCAAUAAUCUUGUUCUGGAAUUCAAGUUUAGCCUCUUUUUUAAUAAAUAUUUUGUCUGAUUGGUGCACAGGAAGGAAUUUGUUUUUAUUUUCUUUGUAGUUUUCUUUUUGAUUGAGAAAAUCGGAAACUAAUUUUACAUAAAUGGGAAUUUACGGUGUCAUAAUUUUUGAUUUCGUUUUUCUUUGUUUUAAUUCUAAAAAAAAAUGAAAUUUUCACAGGAUAGUUAAAUUGACUAUUUCUAAACAUUGAAUAAUUAUUAAAACAUUUUGGAGAUUUUUAGAAAUUAAUUGAAUUUUCAAUUUUUUUUUUUUUACUUUUCAUUUGGUAUGUAUUGUGCGUAUAGAACUGUUUGAUCAAACAUAAGCUAACUUACUAAUCUGAAAAUAGGCGGAAUGUGAUGCUAAUAAUUUUAUGUAUAUUACCUUCUAACUUUUUAAAUGUUCUGCGUCAUUAAAUAUAAAUUAAAUAAUAGUAUAUUAAUCCUAUAAUUUAUUUCAUAUAUAUUUUUAAUAAUCUCAAGUAUAACGAAUCAGUUUUGAUAUAAUAUUGAGGUACAUUAUAAUUUUAAAUUUAUAGCCCAUCAAGGUACCCAUUCAUAUUAUGUAAUAGAACUAUUAGUUUUGUAUUCAAAUGAAAAAUUAAUAGUUGAUUUCAUUUAUCUAUUAAAAGAAAACAUAAGAUUAGAUAUAGGUAUAUCAAGAAUGCAAUUAUGAUUAUUUUUGAGAUUUGUAUCGUUAUUAAACGUCAUUUUUUUUUUCUUGAAAACAAUUUUCGGUUAGUAAAUUGAAUCAAAUUCUUUACAUUGUAUUUAAACGAUGUGGAUUUUUUACCCGGAAGUAUUUUAUUUUCUAGGUGUUCGACGGAUAUUUUUUUUAAAGUAAAAUAAAACUGACAAAAAAUACGCGAUAUACGUUGGUUUUAUAUUUGUAAAUUUCUGCAGGGUUACUUUGACGACGAGGGGAAAAACAUGAUUGUAAUACUAUACUAUACAAAUUCACUAGGUUUUGAGAUCCGCUCAGAAUCGUUUAUGGUUCUAACUAUUUAUCAUUUUUGUUAGUAUAUGUAAACUUGUAUUACUGUCCUAAAUUCUAUGCUUUUCAAAUAUAUAACAGUAACCCAUGGAUCAAAGUUUUUCUAAAUUUUUUUAAACUUGUUUAUAUGAAAUUGUACUACUAUUUUCACUAAAUAAUAAAUUAAUACCGGAAAAAGAUAUUAAUUUAUUCUAUUUUAAUUUCUGAGCUGAGUGAGGAAUUUAUUGGUUUUACAAUGAUGUUUAUUAUGUAUUUUUUUUUUAUCUGUGAACAACUUUUCUACUAGCAAUUUUGCUCCAAUUCUUCAAGUACAGCACUUUUUCUGAAAGGAAAUUUAACUGGAGUGGUACUUUAAGGGCCAUGCCAUACUUACCGAUUCAAACGCGAGUGAUUAAGAUGUGGCAUUUCAACCGCCAUGACUAAAUGUAAUUACACUAGGCGUUUUUGUCACGCUAUAAAAAUAAAAAUAAAUUGUUCUAAAAAUGAAAUAUAUGAUGACUUGUAUGUUGUCUUAUAGUAUCAUAAUGAUAAGUGAGUGUUACAACGCUAGUGUGUUACCAUUCAUUCAAAUGUGUUUCGAUAAUAAUAUGUAUUUUAGGAAGUACGCAAUUCAGCGGUUGAAACUGGAAAAAAAUGAGAAAAACCGGGGUGUUUUCGAUUUUUUGUUUCAUUUUAUUUUGAUUUAGUUAAAAAUAUUUUUUGUGCAUUUUCCUUCAGACAGAAAAUUUAUAUUUGCCUUUUCUUAAAAUAUUGUAGCCAUUUUUGCGAUAUUUAUAGACAUUUUAAUUUUACGUGUUUUUUUAACGUAAUUUUUGUUUGGUAGGUACUCCGUGGAUAAAAUUAUUAUACCAAACAGAAAUACUAGAAAAUUUAACAAGAGGUUUAUUAUAAAUCGCAUACUUUGUGGUAAAAUAAAAAAAAAAAAAAAAAAUUGAGUGUAAUAUAGAAUUUUUUUAUUAGAAUUUUAAUAUCAAAGUUUGAUGAAAAUCGUUUUAGUAAAAAAUUAGUAGGUAUUUUGUAAUGCAUGACCAUUGUCCAUUAUGUAAUACAUCCAAGUACAAAUGACUAUUAUGCAUAUGUAAUUAUUUUACCAUAAUAUGACAUGUAUAAUAUAUAUUGUGGAUAAAGCAAUUAAUAAAUACUAAUAACCAAACUGCUCAGAAUCGUUUUUCAUUAGCUAUAGUAAAUCAUUGCGUACAGAUAUACAUUAAAUUUCCCUCUACCUUCCUACAUUAUCACCUACUACAGUGGCCCACCCAUCGUGCGAAAUUUGUCCGUAUUUUUUUCUUUUUCUUUUAAUCGUAUAACAAGGACAAGGGAUUUCUAUAGUUAAUUUUUGAAACAAUCGAAUAUUUUGAGUUUCAUAUGGAGUCGAUUUAAUUUUUAUUUACCUGUAUUAAAAUUUAUUGAAUGUGCUGUUUACGCACAAUAUUUUCUUUAAUACCUUCUUUAUCGCAAUAUUAAAAUGUUGAACAUUUCUUUGUAAUAAUUGUAACUUACAUUUUAUAGCUAUAGGUAUAUACGUGCAUAUUCCCCCACAUUAAAAUACACAAACGGUGGAUAUAAUUUAAAUUUAUAUCUAACGACUAGUGUGUAUUUAUACUUAUAUGUGUAUUUUUAUGUAAAUAUGAAAUAUUAUUACAUAAAACGUUUUAUUUUACUAUUUUUAUUCCGAACAAACUCUUAAAAUAGGCUUUAUAAGAUAUUACAUACAUAUUGUUGUUAACUAGGAACAUUAAAAUAGUAUCAGAAAAAGUCCGAAUUAUAUAUUCGGUGUACCUUAUUUAGGCGGACGUAUUAAAUUCAAAUCGGAUAUUUUUCCAGUUGACUAUAAAUGAUAUGUGUUGGAGUAUAAUUUGAUUUAGAUUCAAAAAUGACUCAAAUCUACUAUAGGUUAUACAUACAUAUAUUGCCGUGGGAUAUUAGUUUUUUUUUUUUGGCCAAAAGUACGUUCAAGGAUCUUCAGAAAAAAAAAACAACUACGCCUUCAAACAUUGAAAAACAUAAUAACAAAUAAGUAAAUGAACGUCAAUGACGUGGAUAUUAUUAUAAAAAUAAUAUAACAAAUACAAAUUGUUUAAAUAAAAACGAUGGGUACUGAUGUGGUAAAAAUUGUAAAGCAAAAAAAGUUUAAAUUUGUAUAGAUUCUGAAUGGAGCGAGUUUUACAAUUGUGUUUUUUCAUUUGUGAACAAAUUUUCUACCAGAAAUUUUGUUUCGAUUUUUAAGUGCAGCACUUUUUCUGAAAGGAAAUUUGACUAGAGGUGGUAUUUUAAAAAGGUCGUUUUUCCCAGGGGUUUUUCAUAAUAAAUGGGAAAAAAUGUAGGAAAAACUGGAAAAUUUACGAAAUGUAUUAUUUCAAAAUCUUAAAUGUUACGGCCUUUCAAAACAUGUAUAAUCGAACUCGGAUCAGAAUCGUUUUUCAUUAAUCGUUACGUAAAGAUUAACACUAAAUUUCUCUUCUACCUUCUCAACUUCUCAUCUACAGCAGUGGCCUACUUAUCGAGUAAAGUAUGUCCAUUUAUUUUGAUUUUGAUUUUCUACCAGAAAUCUUGCUCUAUAAUUUGUGCGUUGGAUUUUUUUUUAAAAAAAGAAUAUUUAGUCUAAUUGGCGCUCAGGGAGAUCUUUGAUUUUCCUACAGAUUAUAUUGAAAUAAUUAAUAAAAUAUUAAGAUUUCCUAUUCUAUUAAAAACCGGGAGGAAUAAAAACGUAAGAAAAACGGGAAAGUUUACAGAAAUAACCAUAUUAUUAUUUUCAUUGUAUUUUCAAUUCAUAUAAAACGACGGUCGAACAAAAACAUCGUAUACGGGUAUUAUAAACGAACGAAUGCCAAUAAUUUUGACGGGACCAGACGGCUGUAAAUAUUAUUAGCAUAAUAAUAAUAAAUAAACGACACCACGCAUGGUAUAAUAAUAAUAAUAUAUAUGUGUUCGACACAGUCCGAGCUCCGGGCGCGAAAUAGAGGUGAUAACGAUGAACGGCGCAGGCGAUUACAAUUAACGACGGCCCGACACAAAUUAGGAUCAAUUGGCGUUGGCGGCGCGAAAGUUCACGGUUCAGGUGAUAGGUGACCGUUAAAAAAAUCGUUUCGGACGUUUAAAUUCGCUCGGUUUUUUUUUUAUCGUUCUAUUGUUCGCCAAUUGGUUUUCAUUUAAAAUAACUAAACGUGCCAAUCCCGCCCACCACCGUUACCGUUUAUGUCGAUAAUAACGUCUAAUAAUAUUAUAUUCAAUAAUAAUAACAAUGAUAUACGUAUUGGAAAUAUAGCGUAAAACGAUCGGUACGUCUCCGGGGCACCGAUGCUGCGACAGUCGUCAAUGUCGUCGUUACGCGCGCUUGCAGUUUGUCAUUAACGGACACCGGGAACAUUGUCGGUACUAUUGCGACUUCCAACCUCGCCUAAAACCUAACGUACCUACCGACUCCCCCGUAGUUUUACGCUCACCCCGUCGAGACGACGACCCUAAAUCUCCGCAAAACUUUAGAUUUCCUGUUUGGUACAAUAAUAAUAUAUACCUUACAAGACCGCGCGCGUGCGCGCGUCAUCUAUCUCGUCGGACACGUAAGUUGAUGUUUUUAUUAUUUGUACUAUUUCCUAUACCGAAUUCGAAGGUACUUGUAUAUAAUAUGAUAUCCGUAUGUAUCAAAUGAUGAUAAAUAGGCGUCGAAAACGACUUAUGACGGCCGUUUUAUACGACGCAAUAUUAGUCAUUGAAGUCAACGUUAUCAUUACGCGCGAGAGAAACGGACGAGAUGCGGUUUUUAUGGCACGAAAAGAAUUUAUAUUUUAUGUUUUUUUUUUGACGGUGAUUAUGUAAAAAUUACUAUACAUAAAGAUACUGGAAAUAAUACACUCGAUAGCAGCGACUCGGUCGAUUUUUCCUAUUAUGAAUACGAAUUAUCACAAGAUGCGAAAUCCCUGUUUUACUUAUCAAAAAACUGCCAUAUGAUAUUAUUAAAUAUAUUAGUGCAGCGGCAUACCUGCACUGAACUAGUUGAGAAUUCGCCCCCCCCCCCCCCGUGGGUCGUAUAAUUAUAUAACAAUGCACACUUUAUUUGUUUUUAGUGUUUCUAUAAUAAUUUUUAAUUUUUUUUUUUUCUUGAAGUAGUUAAUAAUAUGAAAUAUGCUAGGUUUUUUUUUAAAAAAAUCUUAAUUUUUGAUAAGGAAAACAUUACUUACACCAGUCAUACCAUCAAAUGUGUAGGUGUCAAAUCUAUAGUGUAAAUUAUAUGUGCUACUGUAAACAAGUGUACACUUUUUGUUAAAACGAACAAAUAACAAAUAUGACCAAAUCCAUUAGAUAUUAAAAUAUUUGUAUUAUUUAUGAUCGAACCGGCCAAGGCUGAAUAUUUACCAGAAAAUAAGUAUACCAGUGGAUGAUUUAAUUGAAAUUUAUAUCAUAUUCUCUUCUAUGAAAAUUCGAAGACUUUGUAUUAUAAAUUUACAACGUGCAUUAUAAUAUUGUAUUUAAUUCAAUAAAAACGUUUUAUUUUAUGCAUGUUAUAUUUUACAAAUAUAAAAGAGUCUAAUUCCCGUGUUUAUUAAAACUGUUGUAGCUGUGAGGUUAGUUUUUAAAGAAUUUUUUAUUUUAACAGUGAGUGAAAAUAUAUUUCGCUUCUCCCUCAUCUUUUUUUGUUUUAUAUGGUAUAUCUAAUCUGAACUUUAUUUAUCUGAACUAAUCCUAUUUUUUUCACCAAUUUUUUUAAGCCAAUUAUCAGUAUAAAUAAUGACUCAAACGUAUUAAAUAGUUUUUUAUUGAUAAUAGAAAAAAUCGGAAUGAUGUUAUAUAUAGAUAGUGUUUGCGAGACGAACAAAGAUGGACAGUCCCCACCGAUCGUAAUAUGAUAUGCUAUGAUUAUUUAAUACUUGAAAUUAAUAUAACAUAGGGUGACCAUAUUAGGAAAAUAAAAAAAGAAAAUGGGAUAGUUGUUCACCCCUCCCCAAAGAAAAACCCUCUCGCCAAAAAAAACCUCAUUCAUAUAAAUUCAUAUAAUAUAUGCACACAACUGUAGAGAGUAAAAGUCCAAUUAAAUUCUUAUUACUUAACCCUUUUUGAGUAAUUUAACUUAAAUAAUAGGUAAGUGUUUAAAUGUUUGGGAAUAUUUUCUUUUUGUAAUUCACUAAAUAACACAAUAUUGCUUUUCAAAACUAUUAUAAUUAGAUAAAUUUACUUUUUUAAUAAUAAUAGUUUACAGUUAACCAUAACAUUUUUUUUUUUUUUUUAUAACAAAAUAAUAAAGUAAAAAUAAAAUUAUUAAAAUGGUUAAUACUCGUAAAUUAAUAUAGUAAAAAAAUGUAUAUAUAAAAAAAAUUAGAGAUUAGGUAUUUAAAAUGGGUUAUUAUUAGACAUAGAUAUGUUAAGAAAUAUAAAUUAUUUGGUUAUUAUUUAUUAUCUAAAAUGUAUUGAUAUUACGAGAAGAAUUAUAUAAGUACACAAUGAAAUAAAAAAUAAUAAUUUUUAUAAUAUUUUAAAUGUAUAAACUGAUAUUAAAAAUAAGAUCUUAUAUCAAUACAUUUUAGAUAAUAAAUAAUAACCAAAUAAUUUAUGUUUCUUAACAUAUCUAUGUUAAUAAUAACCUAUUUUCCCUCAACAAGUAAAUCGAUAUGGUUUUCAUAAAUUCGUCAUACUAAAUCGAUUCAAAUUGGGCUUACCGGUUUAAUGUUGUUUGAACCUCGUGACUAGAUAGUUUAAAGUUACCAAUUCUUAUUUACUUCCACCGCAUAAACUUGAUCGUUCCCUUUAAUCUAUCAACUAUGAUGGUAUCUUUACCGUCUGUUCUAUCAAUUUUUAGCGGAAAUUAAUAGAACAUCCUGACAAGUUAUGUCCUGUAGUAUUAUAGUGGGUGGAUUAGGUUUUAAUGCCUCGAAUAUUUAGCUAAACGGUGAUACCGGGAUCGUUGUUAGUGCUUUUUAUCAACAUUUCUCGUGAUCAUUCUUCGAUAAAAUACUCAUUAUCUCGAAAAAUAUUUAAUUUUAAAAAUUUUUUUUUUGACAGUUUAAGAAACAAGUUCCUGAAAAAUGUUACACUCUUUUUUCACCCUUAUUAAGAACUAAUUAAACGCCACGCGUCACUACUCUCCCCUUACCCAAAUUUAAAAUUAGGUUAGGUUAAUGGGUUUGUUAGGGUUACCAACCGUCCUACAUUGGGCUGGAGAGCUUUAUAUUUGUUGAUUUGUCCUACGUCCAAACCGUAAAUUUUAUGUAGGCCAAUCCUAAAUUACAAUACACAGACCUUGUAGUUAAUGGUAUAAGAAAAAAACAUAUUUAUAAAGAUGUUUCAUUAUUAUAUAUACCUAGGUGUAACAGUAUUUUAUUUUUUUAUUCAAGCUUGUUUCUUAUUACAUUACUAUUGUCAAUUAUAAGUUUUAUUUUGUAUCAUUAUAUUUUGUAACAUAAUAAUAUUAUUAUUAUUAUUAACAUUAUAUACAUUAAUAAUACAUACAAUAUUAAAUUUUGGUUUAAUAAAAUAAAAAUAUAGUCGUUCCUAAAAAUAUGUAGUCGUUACCAGAGCCAAUGAAAGGUAGGAGGAUUAUUUUAAAGGAAGGUUCGGAAUUCAAUUAGCGAAUUAGUAAAAAACUCCUUUUGGUGGUGAGGGGGUUUCACGAAAACCUUGUGUUGGAACUGUCCUACAUUUAAACAGUUUGCAACCCUAGGGUCGACAGAUAUUAAAAAUAUCAACAUCAAAAUGUAUUUGAACUAAAACUUCAACUAAUAUUUAUGGAAUUUGUUAAAAUCGGAGAAUUAAAAGUGGGUAGUGGUUUCACUCUCUAAAAUAACGGUGACAAAAAAGAACGGUAAUGUGACAUUUUAGAGCUACUUGUUUUCAAAGUCGUCCCCAAAAAAAAAAAAAAAACAACUAAAUAAAAUUGUGAGAUAAUGAGUGUCUCAUUCGAGGAUUGGUCAUGCUGUAUAUACGAACUCGUUAAAGAGCGUGUUCGUGUGCGCUAGACAUACAUAUAUAAUUACAUCUUUAUAUAUGCAUAUAGGUGCUGUUUUAUCGAUGUUAUCUGCGUACUUAUAUUAUAUAUGCCCCGCGGAAUGUAUAAUAUUUAUUUCAUUCAUCGAGUAUACACUUAAAAUAUCAUUAUAAUAUAGGUAUAUGGCAAACCCACCUGAUCGGAGUCGAGACUAGUCGAGUUUGAAGCGGCCAGGAUACGUUUUUCAAAGCGUGCGGCGGAGGCCGCUGGAGGGGGGGUGGAGGGAGGACAAUCAUUAAUCAUGGAAACCGCGUAGAAAAAAAAAAAUCCGGCAACGAGAAGGCAGGCAGUAUACAUUAAUACUUCCUAUACACGCGUUAUACUCGUAUUAUUAUUUUAGCGAACGAAAUAUUAUUGUAUGAUUCGGAUAAAGAAUGUUGCGGUGAGCUAGGACCGCGGCAAUGAUCGCUAUAUCAUAAUACCUACCUAAUAUUAUAUUAAUCGUUUCUUAAAAAAAUAUUGUUACAAAAGCGUAAAAAGAAAAAAACCGGAUUGGUUAUAAUAAACGGGAAACCCGUCAUCGAGUUUGCUAUUUCUUUACAAUAAUUAUCAUACUGUAACAUCGUGCGAAAUUGUAUAGGAAGUCGCGUUUGAGAGUUUUAGUUUAUGGCGAAUGAACCUAAUCUAUUCGUUUUGCCAAGGCGCGCGUAGUUAUCCCCUUAGAUAACUAACACAUUUUCGAUUAUGUAAUAGAUGUAUAGAGUAUAAAAAAUGUUCCGAAACUUUCACACCGUACAAGGUACACCUAUCAAAAAGAAUAGGGUUUUCUGUUCGGCGGUAUUCUUUCUUUGAAUCAUAUUUGUCUACACAUAAUUCCCAACAGUUUGAUUUUUUUUUUUAAAUUUUGUCUACCAUUUUUCGGUUUUGGUAUAAAUGCUUUAAACUUUCACACCGUAGUAGGCCUCUUGAGAGAUGCAGAUUCUUUUCCCGGCGCGGCUUGGGUACUUUAUUAAUAUUGACAUGUUUUUCUAUAGACUUCCAAAACUUUUUUUUUAUAUUGAAUUGAAUCAACUUACUUAUAGUUGUCAAACCUACCCGGUUAACCGUGAACUCCAUUCAAAAUAGAGUUUUUGUUUUAAAUGAUUAAUCAUUGAUUCAGUAAUAAACUUCGACAGUUGCCACUUGCGCUUACAUAUGGCGCAAAUUAUGUCUGCCCUUUUAAAGACAUUUGUAAUUAAUAAUUAAUAUUAUACUUAACAUUUUUCCUACACUCGUAUACUCAUAUUUUAAUAAUACAUGAGUACGAUUUUAGAGGUCCGAAAUUUAGAAAGACUUUCUUAUACCUGAGUUUUUUCCAUCUUGAUAAGACUGCAGGGCUAUACUCAAAAAAGUCGUUUUUUCACGUACAAAGCUCAAUAUUUUUUAUAUCUGGUGUAUAUAUUUUAAUUAGUGUAAUGAACAACAAGAUGUACGAUAGUAUUACAAAUCGAAAUAUGAAAGGCCUAUAAUAUAGCGUGAAUCGUUGGUAUAGAUGGAAUACUAUUGACUAUUGAGUAAAAUUAAGAAAGAAGCCUUUAUAUUUUACAGGUCUCAUGUAUAUCAUACAUAUUUUAACUAAAAGUACAAUAUUAACCGAGUUAUCUCGUUUACGUAAAAUCUAUAUAAUAUAUGUUGCGAAAAUAUGAGGCCCUUUAUAUGUGUCAAUCCCCGGUGAAGCCUUCAGUAUACUCAUUUCAAUCCUGGUUUCACCACAAGGCGUGCCGCUGCGGGUAGCGUGCGGCGUCCAGAGUUCAACUCGAAAAGCGAAUUAUUCGCCCGCUGCUCAAAAGCCGACGGACUUACGUACUCGAGCGCGUAAUUCGAUAAAAGCGGCUCCUGUAAUCACGGUCGUUCAUGCGCGUUCGUUAAUAUAAUACACUAGGUAGAGGUAUAUUACAUUUCCGAAACCACGUGCGUAGCCGCAAUAUUGAAACGAUACAAGUGAAAUUUUAUUUUAAAAUUAAAAGAUUUUUUUUUUUUUUAUGAGAUGCGAGAAUUUUAACGAAAACAUGUUAAUAAUACACGGCGAUUUAUGGUUAUAGAAUAUACCAGCUAGGGCUUAAAUCAAAAAUAGAAAUAUUGUUUCAAACGGUAUAAGUAAUUUAGUGUUUAACGUUAUAUAAAUUUAUACGUUUAGACAAUUUUUGGACAACUAGUGUCUACUCACUCGUCACGACCACAGGUUGAAAUUCAAGGAAAUAAAACAUAAAUAAUAAUUAUAAACAACGGUAGACGGAAAUAUUAUUUUUAAAUUUACAAAUAAAAAUGACUAAUGUACUAUUAUGUGAUAUUGUGAUAUUAAAAACUACACAAAUGUGUGUGAACAUUUAUCGAUUAACGCGUUAUAACGAGUUAUUUUAUUCCAAAUAUUGAUAUCAACACUAUAACCUUAAAACUUAAAAUUGUAUAUUGUAUUGAUAAAAUAUAAUUAUUAAUAUUUUCCUUUGUUGUCGGAUAAAAAUUAAAAACUAAAGGAUGAUUCACACUGAACCGACACUCGCAGACCGGCACCGGAACGCACAGCCCCGUACCAAACCGACAUUUUUUUUUCACAUUAUAUCGUUUGCGACAGACACAGAUCGUCAUAAAUUAAAAGUAAUUUUAUGUGUACAGUUAAUGAGUUAAGUAAUUAAGUUACCGAUUUCGAAUUGUUUUUUGAAUCAUUUAACGUUAUAAUAAUAAUGUUUUAAAAACGUGUUGAAAUCGUGGAAUAUACUCAUUAUUGUUACUAUGUAAAUACACGACGACGGCGAUUAUUAUUUUAAUCAUAUAUAUUUUACUAUCUAACCGAUUGUAAAAUUAUUCGCAUCCAUAUAGGUUAGGUGAGGUUAUGGUUUACUGACAUGGUGUGCCAGAAACUUUCAUGAAAAUGAGAUACACCAACUCCCAACGACGAUAACAUGCAAUCACGGAGUACUUAUGAUAAAAUUAUAUUGAACGGUUCCGACAAAAUAUUUUUCGACGAAUUAUUUUUUUGAAAAAUAAAAACUUUUAUAUAAUAUUAAUAUAAAUAUUUUCCAAUAUUUUACGCGCCCCCAUUGAAGACGCCCAAGCCAAUAGUUUUGGUGGGAAAGCUUGUGCCGUGGCGACGAAUUGACUGCGUCUCAAUGUGGCGGUAGCUGAUAAGAUAUUUGUAAAAUAUGGAUCUAGUUUGUUCACGGAUGGAAUCUAUCAAAGUUUUGGGGACUGCCAAAUUUAAAAGUAUGACAUUAUUUCCUUAAUAAUCGGGUAUUACAUGACUCGUAUUAGACUUGGAUUUGGGGUUGCGCUUACGGCUGAAUACGACUUCGAUAAUUUUUAAAGCGUUUAUACGUUAUACGCUAUUUACUGGACCAUUCUCAGAUGUUGAAUGAAUUUUCUUCUGAAGUUGAAUAAUGUCAAUUUUUGAGUUUUGGUUGCUGGUGAAGAACAUCGUAUCGUCAAUAUCGAUUCUACUUAGUGCCUUUGGAACACAAAAUAUUUUAUCAAUUAUACCAUGCAAUAAUGACGUCACUUGGUUCAAAUGAACAGUGGUGAUUGGGGUGGGUACUCCCUUCGCUAUACUGUGCGUGCGUAUGCGCUCGUUCCACCACAGAAUCGGGCCAAGUGAUGUAGAAACCAUUAUGCGCACGACUUAGUUGCUCAGUUAGGUAUAAUUCUACUGUUUUGUAUUACGCGACGUUGCGUUUUUGUUCUUAUUUUUUUUUUUUUUAUGUGUACCGAGUUGUAAAAACGUAUUAUAAUAUAUUGUAUAUUAUGUACAUGUUUGAUCAUAUUUUAUUAAAACUCAAAAGACCGUUUACCACUAACCGUUUGUUUGAAGUUAAAAGACGGGUUUUUUUUUUCAAAAAUCUGCAGUCUGUUACUAUGCUGAAAACAUGAUACUAUUUUUUUCUAGCUUUAUUUUACCUUUCACGUAGGUAUGAAUUAUUAAAUUAUUAAGGGGUGGGGAGGGUAUCAUCUGUCUGACUAUCAAUUAUUUGUAUUAGAAAUGAGUUGGACGUAGACAAAAAUGUAGAGUGUUAACUCCCUUUCUCAACUUAUUAAAAGCUCUUUUUAUAACUUUUUUAGGCUUUUAACUGCUAAAAAUGAGUUUUAUAUCAUUUUCCGUCAAAAUAUGAUAUGCUCUAAUAUUCAUUUUUUGAGAAUGAGUAUAAUAGGUUCAGUCCAUCACAUGUAAGUUUUCGGACACUAUCCGUCCAUCUCCUGCGUGGUUUUGUUUUAGGUUUUGUAAUCUACAGUUUUCAGUAACCCCUUGUCCAUUCGCCGUACAUAAUCAGUUAAUUUCAGUCUUAUGUUUUCAAUAAACUGGUCCAAUCUAAGAGUUAAUGUUAUUUCUUGUCUCUUCUUCGGUAUUAGGUAAAAUAUGUAUUAUAUUGAACCAUGUAUCCUUCUAAGUAUAUUCCUCUUAAAUCUUCCAAGUUUCUUUCCUUGCUCUAAUUCGUAGACGAAUUUCACUCAGAUAACAUAAUAAAGUUACUCUUUUAUGUUGUUCAAUAUUAGUUUAAAUUUAAUAAUAUGAUGACAAUAGUUAAUAAUUGUAACGAGAAUUCAGUACCAACUUUUGGUGUUCUAUAGGGUUGUGUGACUCAGUUUUAUACCUAAUUUGUUAGUUACGUUAAUAAAUCAUGUUGAUGAUGAAUUUUCUAAUUAAAAAACUAAAAGUUUUAGCUAAAUAAUAAAAAAUAAUAUCAAAAAUUAGAAAAAUCUUGAAUAUUAUAUAUUAGAUAAAUAAUAAUCGAGAUGUACUCUAUUAUUUACGAGCUUUCUUAAAGUUUUCGAUUUCCAACUGAACCCUAAUCAUACAGAUCAUUUAAGUUAUUGAAAACCCACACAUUUCUAAUAAAAUAUAUUAUAUUAUCUAAUAUGUUAUAUCUAUAACAAUUUAUUUAUCGUUUAAAAUGUCUACGUUUUAUUUCCAGAAAUUUAGAAAAUUACUAUUUAUUAUUUUUUAUGAAUUUAAUGAAUAUAUGUUACUUAUACUGUCGUAAAUUGUAUACAAUAUUAGGUGUUAUUUUUGUCAUGGUAUCAAAUAAAUAAAUAAUAAUUAGCACAUUAACAAAACGUAUACCCUUUAUAUACCUAAUUAAUUUAAUGGUUUUUUUUUAACCACUUUAUUUUUUUAUGGUCCAUUAAAACUCCAUUGUUUUAAAUGUGGAAAUAUUAUUUGUUUUUUUUUUUAUAGGCUUUUUUAUUUUGCGCAAAAUUACUUGAUAAACAUAAAAUAUUUGAGAUUAGAGAAAAUCAUAUAUACCUAUAUAUUUUUUUAAAUAUAACAGAUUUCGAUUAAUGGCUGUGGUUAUUAUAAGUUAGUUUUAUCGUAUUUCCAAUAUAUAGAAUGGUUGAAAUGUAUAAUAAUUGAUAAACAAUAAAAAUAUAAUUGUUAUUUCAACGUAUUAUAUAUAGUGCAUGGGUAUGCUCAACAAUUAGAAAUAGAAAAUAUAUAAAACCAAAAUGUGAAUCUCUUGGAAUUUAAUAUAUUGGCAUUUCGUUGGCCAGUUCUUAUGUUUUUAUUUAUUUUUUGUAUAUUUUUUUUUUGAAGUGUCUACUUGAUAACUUAAAUUUACAGGUAUUUAAAAUGCCUCUUAUUUUUUUUUAAACCGAAAUUGGCAUUGAUUUAUACAAUAAUACUUUUUCUAAAUUUCCUGUUUUUAAGUAGACGAUACUUUUAUUUUUUUUAAAUAUUUUCAUUCAAACAUUAAAUUAUAUAAUUAAAAAUUGAAAAUAUUUUUUAAAUAAAAAAUACAAAACUGAAAUAAUCUAAAAGAAAAACAAUAGUUUUACUAUUAUUUAAGUAAUUUGUCAACAAAUCGACUGCAAAUGAAAAUAAAACCUGGACAUUUUUACUUAUAACGAUACUCGUGAGUUUAACUAACAAUCAUAAUUAAUAUUACAUGCACAAAUAUGUAUUUUUUUUUAUACAAUUUUUACGUUUACAAAAUUUAAAUUUUUACCCUAAAAUAAAUUACAUCUGAUGGGACUGUAGUUUAUAUAAUUAACUUAAAAUUUUAUACAUUUUUCAUGAAUAAAAAUAUCUUCAAUUAAAAUACCGUCCUUUUAUAAUCAUUCACAGUUAAUCCUUGUCAUUAUAAUUUUAUAAUAUAAAAGAUAUUUAAGAGAUUAAGAACGUCAUUAACAGUCACUACACCCGAACGCAUUAUUCUACGGUUCUACACGAUGGUUUAUCAAACAGUAUUACUUUAAAUAAAUUCUAAUUGUUUAGAAAAAAUAAAAGACUUUUGUGGAAAGAUUUUAAUAAAUAUCAAAAAAAAACAAAUAAUCUACAUUUUUUUCAUAUACGUUGAACAUUUAAUUAAGUUUACCUUUAAGCAUUUUUUUAAAAGAAAAAAAAAGAAAUAUUCGAACUUUGUCAAUUUAUGUGUUGGGUAGAGAAAUGUUAAAUGAUAUUUAGAACGGGUUAUUAGUAAUGAACCGUAUACAUGUAUGUUUUGAGUUUUGUAUGCAAAUUGUGCGCAACAUGUUUCGCAUGGAAUUUUUAUCUGUGGGUAUAUAGACAUAUUAAUAAUAAGUGUAAGUCCUUGUAUAUUAUUAUAAAUGAUGAUAACAAUUCCUUAUGAUGUGUUUACUCGGAGAGUUUUUAAUUUUAUUAUAGGGAAAAAACACAUAAAUUCGGGGAAAAACCGACCUAUACCGUGAUGUAAAAACAUUAUCAAACACUGGUGCAGUGCACAUCACAAUUACGCACAAAGAACCAGAGGUCUCUUAAAUAAAGAAAUAAUAAUAAUAUACCUAAGGUAUAAAGUAAAUAAUCGUAAUAUCGUUAUACACUCUGUUAUCAUCUGUUGUUAGGUAUGAACAGGUUCAACGUUCUUUGAGAUCCGCGUAGUCUCUAUAGCUUAAAAAAUCGUAUUGAGAAUAAUGUUUAAUAACUUUUUUGUUUUCUUAUUUUUGUACGCAUAUAUUAUUAUGUUUGACUCCUCUCUCCUUUUUUCUUGCUCUCUCGAUAACUGUAUAAAUUAUUAUGGUAUAAAAAACCGCACACUCCAGCGAUAUAAUGUGUAUAGGUGGAGGUAUUUGUGCGCACUGUGGAGACGAAGGCUAUUUGUUUUUUUUCUAUUACUCGUAAGUCGUUCGAGCCGAUGAUUACUGAGCGCACAUGCCAAUAACCGGAUUCUUUCGCAAGUUCUUUGCCAUUAUACCUACACAUAUUUGAAUUUGAUAUCGCUUAUAAUAUACCUAUACAUAAAAAGCAAUGCGUUUAUACCAUUAAUACAGUAUUAUAUAUAUAUAGUUAUUAUUAGUCAGACCACGUGGUUACCUACAUAAUAUUAUAGUGCCCCAUUCAAAUACUAUGCGAACUUAGCCGCUGCGCGCACGCAUCAUCAGACGUUUUAAAACUAUCGUAUAUUGACCGCAGAUUUAUCAUCUGCUAUUUUUACGAGAUAUUAUAAAUGUAUUUUUUUCGUUUUUGCAUUUGUAACGCGCGCGUUUAAUUCAAAAUUGUAAUUGUUCUGUCCGAAAUUAAUACGUGCAUAUAGGUAUAGGUAUUGUCUUAUGAACAGUGAUGACUUAUUAUCUACUAAUUUCAUCCAAGGAUCUUUUUUUCUUUUUUUUUUUUGAAUUUAAUUGUGUCAUCACGGCGCGAUUAAAUAUACUUAUGGUACUAAUACUUAUACGUAUUUUUAGUCCAAGAACACAUAAUAUAUUUACCUUUCUUCGCGUGUCUGAAAUCGUUCAAUUUUUUGAAUUAGGUUUAUCCACUUUCAAAUAUUGAAACGUUUCGGGAGGACGAUCUGGUGUUUAUCUUUUUGUUAUUUUGUAUAUUAUGAAUAGUAUCACUAUCAAAGAUUUGUCUUUUGGAAUUUGGAUUUCCAACCUCCCUCCCUACCAUCAUUAUGAUACAAUUUCACUAUUUUAUCGGGUGUUAAAAAUAUUGAAGUUAUGACACAAGGAAGUGGCGUUCUCGUCGUUCAGUGCACUAAAAAUGAAGGGCUAGUUAAGGGUUAGCUUGUUGGAAAGUAUUUUGUCGGAACUGUUCAAUAUUAUUUCAUUAAAAGCACUCCGUGACUGCAUGGUAUCGUCGUUGGAUAAAAAUUAUUUUCCGACAAAAUACGGUUCAGACAAAAUAUUAUUCGACCAAUUAUUUUUCCGAAAAAAAAAACCUUCCUACAAAAUACGUUUCUGACUAAUUAUUUUUCCGACAAAAUAUUUUCCAAUAUUUUGCGCACUCCCCUAAAAAUUUACUGAGAUUACCAUCCCAGUCAGAAGUGAUUAGGGGGUCUUGAAUUUGAAAACUAAAAGAAGAGGAACUAUAAGACUUAAACAAAAUUAGGGUCCCAUGUAGUUAUUGAACUCUACCUAACGUUCCCGUGCGUUUUUUUCGUUGGGGGAGUCAACUUUAACUUAAUGGUUUUUCUUUCAUUAUUUUGUAUGCAAUAUCUUAAAACUUUUAACACUUAAAUAUAUUAUGUAUUAUUUAUGGAACAUGUUUUCAAUUUUAUAUUAUGCUCAAUUAUUUCACAUUUCACAACGGCGGGGCAUAUACAGUGCCAGUUUAGUAAUUGAACGAAAAGAAUGAAAAUCUAAUUCUCUUUAGAGAAUAAACAACUAAUAUAUACCUAAAUAUAUUUUAAUAUUAUGUGUAAACACUUGUAUAUUGAUUAAAAAAAACCAUCGAUACAUUCGCAGGGUAUAAUAUUUUAUUACUACAUAAUAACGUUGUUAAUAAUAAUAUAUUAUUACAUCGACGCGUCUAUAUUAUUAUAUGCAAAUAGUCAUUGUUAUUAGAUUCAAGGGUAGAAAUAAGAAUAUAAUAGAUUUCCGGCCACUCGGUUGAAAAUAUAUACCUACCUAUUUUAAAAAAAGUAAUAUUACAUCAACCAUUAUAUUAAUAAUUUUGUUAUUUUAUUGAGAUUCAUGUGAUGAGUAAUAUUAUAAUAUGUUUCGAAUCUUAUUUUACUGAUAUAAAAUACAAUAAAUAACUAAAUAACUAAAGGUGUACUAUACAAAUAAUACGCAGUUUGAAAUAGGUUAGAAGUACAAUUUUUAAAUACUGAAAUUUAUUGAAUUUAAAAAUGUAUAACUCAUGAUAUAAACGAUAUAAAGUGUUUAUGAUUUUAUAUUUUUUAAUUAAGUUUUUGAGCGGAAAACCUGCCAAAUUGUUGUUUGAACAAUGACAAAUAUAAAUAGGUACUUAUAACUAUACUUACGUGUCCUUGGGAAAAAUAUUAUCACAGCUAUCAAACAAAUAUUUGUUGGAAGUAUAUAACAGUGGGUAUACACUCGUAAUAAAUGGUUUUUUUUCGCAUUGCACAAUAAUCUAUUUAGUUUAUGAAAAAAAUAAAACAAUUAUUAAUAUAAUAUUCUCACUCUAUGGCCGCAAGUUUUUGGAUGUUUAUUUAUCUGGAAUAAAAUAAUAAAGUAAAAUGUAUGUUAUUAAAGCACGACAAACAAAUAUAUUUCCUAACUCGUAUAUUUUUAUCAGAUAUAUAAGUAGUAAUCGCUGAAAUAUAAAUAAAAAAAUAUAUACAUCUACUUAUUCGUUAUUAUUUUGAUUUUGUUACUUUUAUAAUUAAAUUUACCUAUAUUUACCUAUAUAUUAUUCAUAUUAUAACGAACAAAUAACAUCUAAAAUAUAUAUCCAUAUAUAUUAUUUAUAUAACAAUAUAAAUAUGGGUAUUGAUCAACCUUGAUAUUGAUAGAUUUUGCAGUUGCAUGGUUGCAAAAUGCAUAAUCUUUAAAACGAAUUGUUGCUGUCAUCAUGCAACUAUAACUACAUAUAAAAAAUUUCGAUUCGCUAAGAUUGCAUUCGUUGUACGUAAAAAGUAAUUUAUUUAUUAGUUAAAAAUUAUAUUUAUCAAAUAUCACUAUAAAGAACGACUGGGUUUAAAAAUUUAACAUUUUGCAAAUAAGUUCCUUCUAUGAGUAUAAUGUAAAUUAUGUGCAAUAAGAAAGGAUUUUCGGAAUUUCUAGCCCUAAAGGGUAGCUCAAGCAUGAAUCUGGUCAUUAAAACACGAAAAUUAUAUUUUGUAUAGUUUAUUUGUAUAGGUUACCUUGAUAGUAACACGACUAAAACGGACGAAAUAUAAAUAAUAACUUUUUUUUAUUUACGUGCAUUCAAUUCGUCAAGGAAACUGUAGAAUUUUAUCUUAAAAAUGUUUGAUUGUUAGUUUUUAACUAGGUAGUUUAUAUUUUCGAUGUAAAAUCAGUCUUGCAAUGUUAUUCGAAUUUUACAUACUCGUAUAAUAAAAUAUAAACAUAUACAAAUCGUACAAAUGUAUAUGACGUAUAGAUAUAUGAAUUUCAAAGGGCAAUACAAUUACUUUGUUCGCACUUAUUAUAAUAUCAUAUUAGGUACCCAAAGUGAGGCAAAUACAUAAAGAUUAUUUAGAACGGUAGCAUAGAGAACAAUUAACUUAUUCUAUCCAAAGGAACAUAAUAUUAUUGUAAUCAUCGCUCAUGGACAGUAUGUACCUAUAGUAUAAUACAGGGUGUUACGUUUAUCGUAGAACGAAUAAUUUAUCGUAGGAAAGAGAAAAAGUGAAAACUGUAUUUUGUUCAAUCAUUAUGAAAUCGUUUAAGUUUUGUUUUAACACUAUGUAUUUUUUUGUAUACAAAUAUUUGUAUGUAUUAUUUAUACCAAUAUUGGAUUUAUCGUUUAUAUGAAUUUAAAUAAUUUAAAAUUUUAUCUGGAUACCUAUCCACGUAUUCACCGUAUAUGAGUUAUACUAGUUUAACAUUCAUACCGGAGGGAUGGGUAACCCAUGUUUAGAUUAUAAACUGACAAAGCGUGUAUAAACAGUUUAAUAACAAUUGCAAAAAAUAGAAAUCAAAUUUCCUUAAAAUCCUCCGAGAAAACUGAUAGUUCAUGCUAAAUCACCCUCUAUGGAUCACUCUUUAUAGCAGUUAGUGGUAUACACAGGAUAUUUAAAUGUAUGAGCUAAACAUAAUAACCAAAAAUGUUAUAAAUGCGAGCAAAACAUAUCUACAUUUAUGAUACAAAGUCUUUUUUCAUGAGGUUAUUUUACAGAAUAAACAUAAUCUUUUAGUACAAUAUUAUUUAUUAAGUACUUAUAAUUGAGUUAUAGUAGUUCAAAUUGUAUGCAAUUCAAGGACGAUCCAAAGUCUAUUUACGGCCAGAGCAUCAUAAUAUGCUUAAUAAUUAAUAUUCAUUUUUCGAAAUGUGUGGUUUUUGAUUCCGAAAUUAUUGGAUUAUCGUUAACAACCCAAAAAGUAAGUGCGUAUUUGCUAUUUUAGUUGCACUAUGGGAUUAUAUGUAAAAAAAAAUUCACACAAGUUAAAAAAAAAGCAAUGGAACAUUUUUUACAAUAUUAACAAAGUCUGGAUGCAUUUAAAAAAAAUUGCAAAUGUUAACGUCAAAAACACGAGUUAUAAAAGAAAAGUGAACAAAUUCGAAUAGUACCAAAUUGCAUUUGUUUCUAUUUAUAUUUUGUUUAUUUAUAUAAUAUUUCUUUAUCUUAAAUAAAGAUAUUUCAACUUUUUUUUGAAAUUAAAGAUUGAUAUACAUAAAUAUAUAUACAUAUUAUAUACAUCUAUUAAACCAUAAAAAAAAUAUUUACUUAGAUUAUUUUCGCCGCCAGCGUCUCCCCUCUGGACCCGUUCUUGGUGCAAAGAUUAUUAUUUUAUUAAUAUAUCACUAACAAGUUUUCAAUGCUCAAUAUAGUUUUAUAUUAUUAUUGUUAUUAUUUUUGUUUAUAUUUUAAUUCGGCCAAUAGGAGAUCGAGAACUAAAUCCCUUCUAGGCUACCUCCCAGGGUACUCCGUUGUGCUAGCUAUUAUAGAGUAUCAUCAUAGUAUAUGUAGAGUCAUAUACAUUUCAACGUUAAAAAUUUGAUAGUAAUAGUGAUGAUAUUUGAAUUACUUUUUUUUUAUUUUACUAACCGAAAUCAGAAACGACCCCAAGGUUAUAAUGUCGAUGGGACGUGCGGAUAUUGCUGUAACUUUGUGCAAUAAAGUGGGAGAGAAAAAUAGAGCGACGCGCGUAUAAAAAUAUAAAGGACGAGGAAAAAAAAGAUAAAAAAACCUCACUAGAGAAAAUGGCGUUUUUUUUUCUAUUAUCGUAUCAAAUCACGAUAUUAUUAGGAUGACUUGCAAGCCGACAACUAUUUUGUUCUAAUGUCGUUAUUAAAAUAUUAUUCUCGCAGAGUAUUAUGUUUCGCAUCCGCGUUGGAUCGGUAAAUAAAAUAAUAUUAUAAUACAUAACCGAACAAACAAAAAAAAAAAAACGCUUGUGACACACGCAUGUACGCCCAAGAUAGUCGUGAUCCUAAUCCUCGACAUAUUUUAUUAUUAUUUUUAUCAUAGAUAAUAUUAUUACGGGUAUGCGUUAGGUUAGUAUAUUUUUUUUUUUUUUUACUAAACAUUACAAUCGAUUUGCUUCCGAAUAGUUCGUUCGUAAAAUACCUAUCUACUAUAAAUAUUUUAUACUAUCUCAAUAUCAACUGUCCCACUUGCGUAUUUCCAGACUCUAUUACUCGAGUUCGGUCCGAGCCGAAACGCACAUACAAAAUGCUAAAUAGAAGAAUUUAAUAAAUUUUACAAAAUAUAAUUUAUACUUGUUGGUCCAAACCUGGCGAUGCUCCAAAGAAAUUACAGUGUCUUCAGAAGCUAUGUUACCGUAACAGUAUGAUGUAUAAUUAUAGUAAAAUCCAGUAAAACCUCAGAGGGUUGCGUAUUUACAUACCUACCACUUAGGUUGAACUUGGACACGAUCUAUAAACAUGAAUCUCGUUCGGCGUUAUCCGUAUUAAUUAAUUCCCUUCCCUUUUUCUUUUUUAACAAAAAUAUCCAUUUAAAAACAAAAACCAGUAAAGGAAAUUUAAUUGAAUCUAUUUUCCCGUCGCUCUUUUAAUUUCAUCCGUAUUACCGAACCUAGAACCCAAAAAAAAGAAUAUAUUUUCGUAUAGUAAUACUAAAAUUCCCACAUGAGUUUUAACCCUUGAAUUUUGGAAAUCCGGUUUUGAGGUAAACGUUCAUUCGCUUCUGUAUGAACAUUUUCAGAACUCUGCAUGUGUGCGAUAGAUUCGGCCGUGGAUCGCACACAGACACGCAAUAUUACACAAACACUUCCGUUUAUUACUAUAAAUAAAUAAAUAAUACAGUAUAUCGAAUAUUUAUUUAAUUUCUAAGUUUUAAAGCACGUCCACCGCUUACAAUAAAAUUAAGUUUGUGUAUGCAUUGCAUGCCGUUGGGCCAUUGAAAAUUGCAAUACACAAUACUAGAACACCCGGUACGAUUGUAUAACAAUAUUAGUAUCCUAGUAUCUAGAUAAUAAUUAGGUAAGGUUCGAACUAAAGUAAUCGAAAUUUGAAUCCAUUUGUGAGUGUUUGGUAUAAUUGUACGAUGGAAUUUAUUUUGUUUAUGAUUUUAGGGUACGAAUUGUAAAAUGUAUACAUAUUAUUUUUAACUUUUAUCAUCAAAUCAUUACUAAAAAUCCGUAAAAGAGGACGCUUUUUAAGUGUUUAAGAUACAAUAUAUCGGUCUGAGUUUCCUCGUAUUUCUCUAAUUUAACUCCUGUAUGAGGGAGAAACAUAUAAUAUUAAUUUGUUGAAAAUGUUUAAAAAAUAGUCCCCUGUCCCUUUUAAAUUAUUAUUAUUUCACUCAUUUUUUUUAAAUUUUAUUAUUUAAAAGUAGUAAUAUAAUUAAUGAACAACACGUGCUGUACCGUAUAAUAAUGCUAUUAAUUUGCAUACUUAUUAAAAAAGUUGAAAACGAGUUUGGAAUUUCAAAUCAAAAACUGUCCAAUGAAAACGAAAUUACAUCACUAUUCUUAAGACAGUUACUAAGACAAUAUCGUAAUGUAUACCUACUCGUAUAUCUUCACGUUAAUGAAUUAAAAUUUACUCGACGUCUGCAAUAAUGGUGAAGUUAUAUAAUAAUAUGUGUAGAUAACUAGUAUCGUUGAUUAAAUAUAACUAAGUGCAUUCAAGAUAAUGUAUAUUAAAUGCGUACAUAGGUAUAUAUUAUGUGCUCAUUUUCGUUAUAUCGUAUAAUAAAACCGUAAAGAAUUAAUGUUUCGCAUAUUAUUUUGAGUCAUAAAUAUAAUAAAUAUUUAUGUAAUAAUAUGAUACUUGGACUGAUUUUUCAUAAAUAAUAAAUGUACGAAAUAUAUAAAAUAAUAGCGUGUGUAAAAAUAAUUUUCAUAAUAGAUACACAGCGAAGGGUAGGUAUAUUUUUAAAUUUAAAUUUUGAACAGAAUAUGUAGCAAAUUGAGAAACAAUUUUGUGCUUUUGUAUGUUAUAAAGUAACAAAUUUUACUUAAAAAAGGUUAUAUUGUUUAAUAAAAUAGUUUACAAGUAAUUGCUUUAAACUUAUUAUUUAAUAUUUUUGGUUCAAUCAAUUUCAUGUACCGCAAGGUGUUUAGUAGGUACCAAUUGUAUCUUUAUAAACAUAUUGCUAACAUCAUUUUUGUAUUGAAAGACCAUUAAUUUAAUCCGAAAAAGUUAAUUUAAUAACAUACAUAUGUCUGUUUUGUGAUUUGCCAUGUAAGUUAUGAAAAAAGUUAACAAAAUUAAUAUUUAUAAAAUGAUUAUGAUAAAAUCGGUAUAAAAAAAUCUAAUCUAUUCAAUAUAAUAUUUUAUAUUUCUAAACGAUUUUUAUACUUUUGUGAGUUACAUGUUAUUAAACUACAUAUACAACUACAACUACUAAUACAUGCAAUAUAUUAAAUUCAUUAAAAGUUAUAGGUAAUGAGUUUUGGAUUGUCAAAUUUUGGACUUUUGAAUGAUUUUCAAAAUUGUAUGCUUUAACGCCUCUUUCUUAUCUUUCGCUUUCAUCCCAAAUUCACAACCAUUCGGUAUUGGCCUUGAUUAAGACUCACUCUCCAUAUUGUUUGACAUUUUUUUACACUAGCUGUCUAUCUGACGUAACCCCAUUUUUCGCCUCUUACGAGGUUAGGUUAGGUCAGGUUGAAAAUAUCGUGGGAGUAAGUAGCAGAUUUUCAUCAUUUUUCAGGGAGGUGUCUUGAAAAACCAUACGUAUCUAUUAAUAGAUACUUCUUUUUAGACGACAUUUUACUAAAAUUAAACCGGUGUCUGGUGGGUUCAGACCCCUUGGACCUCCCCCGUAAAUCUGCCACUGAUGAGAGUACUCUGAUAACCUCCCAUAGGAGUAUAUUUAAACUAACAAGUAAAUAUAAUGCUAAAAAUAAAGUUUAUACCCAGUGUAAAUAUUACAUUUAAUCUGUAAUAUUGUGUAUUAUGAUGAUUUGUUUUUAUUUGAUUAUCGGCUUAUUAAAACUUUGAGUUGAUAUUGUUUUUACUGUUGUUUUUGACUUGGUAGUAACUCGUUAGCGUGAAAAUUAGAUACUUACCUAUUUACGAAAUCAAAUGGUGGUUUUUUCGAUGAGUCAAUUUAUGAAGUUUGUAUUAAUUAUAUAUUUCACGUUCGUUGCUGUAAUAUUAUAUUAUAUAUCGUUUAGUCGUGUGUAAAAUUUAAAUUAUCGCUGUAUACCACUUUCUAAACUGUAUUUUUCUUCCCGAUUCGGGAUGUGUGUUUUAACUACGCGUGUUCGGAUUUUUUUUUCGAGUCGUAAUAAAAUCGCGAUUAUACGAAUACUAACAAUAUUAUUAUUCUUCAAUCCAACAUAAACAUGAUGUAGGUACAGCUCAUAUAAUACACGCGCAGACAUAAUAUUAGGUUCGAAGAUAUAAAUCAUAACAGCACUUACUAUAUAUCCUCGCACCUUUCUCUCUCAGAUGUCUAGAAAAAAAUAAAAACCUAACUAUGUAGUGAAAUUUUUCGCGAAUCUCAGUCUCUAGUACUUAAAUAUAGAUAUCAAACGGUCGCCUCAGGUCACCAAGCUUAUAAGUUAUAAUACAAGAUAGCAAUAGGAAAUUAGGCACGUAGUUAAUCGAUUGAUAACGUGUUCACUGCAAACACACACACACACACACAUAUAUAUAUAUAUAUAUGCUAAAAAAAUUGUUCUCAAGAAAAAAAAAUAAAUAUCAUUGUAAAGCCAAUACACUAUAUACUACAAAAAUAUUCAAUUUUACGAUAGGAAAUUUGUUAUUUUUACAUGUGUUUCUCUGUUAGCAUCCUCGAUUUAGCAUUAUAAUAACGUAUAAUUUAUUCAGAACCCACGAUAUUCAUAAUAGUUCAAUUGAAACUACAUAAAUAUCAUAAUAAAUAAGCCACAAAUUACCAAAAAAACCACUAAUAUAAUAAUAAUAUGCAUGUCUUAAAAAUUAGGUAUUCUCUAUUUUACUUCAUUAUUAAUUAAUAUGUUAUACUGUCAAUUUUCUUCAUCUUUAUCAAAAAAAUGUUACAUACUUUUUUAAAUGAAAAAAAAAACUAAAUGUAUGAGAGAAAAAAUUAUACACUUAAAUCGAAAACUCUUAAUAACUCGAAUCAUAUUUUAUCUAAAACUCGUGAUGUAAUGCUUACUAAAAUUAUCAGCUUACAUGAUAUAAAUUUAAUGUAUAUUGUAUAUGCUUUAAUAAUGUAUGAAGUCCUAAAAUAUAUGCUAUGUAUAAUAGUACGAAAAACUCAAAAUAUCCAAAACGAAAAUUGUAUAUAUAAUGAUUGUAUUAGGUCAUCAUGAAACACGUUUUGGUACUAUAAACUAUACCCAUUUUUUCUAACCAAUAAAAAUAUGCAAAUGUCAUAUAAAUAUAUUUGCUAUUCCAGUCCAGAUACAAUCAAUAUAUUUAUUCGAAUAAACUGCUAUUUAUUAUUUUCGGUAUUUUAACGGUUUUAUACUAAUAAAAAUUCACUUUCUGCAAUGUACAGUUGACACAUUAUAAUUAAUGUAAAAGUUUUUAUUUUGCAGUACGAGUAUUUUUGUUUUUCAAUUUAUAAUUUUACGAAAGAAAGUAUAGUGUUUUUUCCUCUGCAGACGAAAAAAGGUUCCAUCAUGUAUACAGUCGCGUAAUUGUAAAAUACAAAAUAUCAAACAAAUAAUAAUAAGAAUAAUAAAAAUUGCUUAACCUACUAUAUUAAGACUUAUAGGAACAACAAUAAUAAUAUGAAGUCGAGGAGAAACUGUAAAAGUUAAUCAGCAAAAUCGUAUAAGAAAAGAGUACCUAUCUAUCUAGUUAAUAAUUUUUAGUUAAUAAGUAAAGGUUAAUUAAUAUAAGUUGGUAGGUACCUCUUUAUAAUCAAUAUCGAUAUUAUUUUUGAUUUAUGUAUUAAAGGCGAUGAACUGCAGUAAAAUUAAAAUUAAUAGAAGGUUAAAGUUUAAACAAUCUAUAACAAAAAUAUAGCGGUCAAAACUAUUUCGAAUAUUUAAUAAAAAGUAAUAUUAUUCUUAGUUUAAAUUUAAAUUUAAAAAAAAAAAACAAACUAACAAAUAAAAAUCGUUCUCAAAAACACUCACGCUCAGGAACAUUAAAAAUCGAAAACGUUAAUUAUUAUUAUUUUUUAUCUUUAAUUAAAUAUAAUUGAUUAAAUAAUUAAAAAACAAAUUAUAAACGAUCAUAAUACAUCAAAAAAUAAAAAACGUAUUUAUCUGUUCAUAUGUUUGCAGUAGUACACUCUAAUAAGAUUUGUUUGUUAUUUUUUCCCAUAAUUCUUCAGUUCAUCAUAAAGAAACAUAUUAUUAUAAUAAUUUUUUCAAGUUUAUUAAAAUAAUAAUGCACUUAGUGUAGUGUCCUUUGGAGGUUUAUCAUAUUUUUUUUUUUAAAUAAUGGUAACUGGUGACGGUUUAUCAUCAAUGUCAUCACUUCAAAACUAUAACAUAUAAAACAUAAUACAUUAUUAUGGGACAUCCCGUGUAAAUAAAUAAAAGUAACCCCAACUAUAAUUAUAAUACGCACUUAUAGGACUAAAUCAUAUUUGUAUUAUCAUCUGGUAGAGAAACAUUUUUCCCAAUCUAUUUUUUCCAAUUUUUAUUUUUCAAAAGUUCUUUUUUCCAAUGAAAAACUAAUCGGGAAAAAUGGACUGGAAAAAAUGUACUACAAUCUCAUCAUCUACAUAACGGAUAUAAAACACAGACGUUUUUAUUUGAUGCGAGUUGUAAAAUUAUGGGCAGUCAAUAUUUACAUAAUUGCCUUUUCAAUACAGAUUAACUACCGGUAUUUAAAUAUUUCAUAUUAUUAUUAAAACGUAUUUAAGUGAUAAAGUUAAGUUGAAUUUAAAUAUAAAUUUAACCAUGUUGUUACGUAAGAAGAGUGUUUUUUUAAUUUUGUACAACCCUGCUAAUCCCAUAGGCGUCGACUUCACGAUUGUCCUUUGAUUUUAAGGGGUGCAUAGCAUCCGUACUUAAAUUCUAAUGGAGGUAAAACGUAAAAAUAGUGUAAUACAACAAAUAGGUGGAAGAAAUUCGACUCUAGUGACUGAGAUUUGCUGCUCAUGGGUAUUUUUUAUUUAUACUAAAUUUAAGUUUUUCAAUUUAAUUUAAGCCGUCUAUAUUUUUUCGUAGUUUUUGUGGAACGGUGGUGUCCAAGACCGCUGCGCUAGACAUUCUGAAACCGCAUUACAUUGUACAAACAAAGUUUUACAGUUGUAAACUUUAAAUGACCGUCGACCCACUAAUGAAAAGUAUGAAAGUAGUUUGACAAAACAGAACAAAUAGUACAAAACAAAGUAAAUAUGAUGUUAGUGUACCCUCCACUAUAUUAUAUAAAACAACGUAACAUAUUUGAUGUUUCCUUGAACUAAUCCCGAAAACUAUACGCAGCAUAUUAUACUGAAGUAGAUAAUAUGUAAACAAUUCACGAUACACAAAUAGGUACAACUAUGUAUUUAAAUAAAAUCGCAUUUGAUCGUUCUAUUUCAUUUUAAAUUAGUGUCACAUAAGUUUCAUAAAGGUGGUGCCAUAUAUUAUAUGUAUACAUAAUAAUAUACUCAUCAGACGUCACUCGUAUGAUGAAAUGAUAACAACCGCGAUUAAAAAAUAUAAACAUUGCCCACCACGCAUACGUUUAGUAUCUCUGUGUAUUACAAAGUUAGCUUGAUAUUUAGUGGUUCAUAUCUAUGUAUCUAUGUCUACACCGUAGAAUAACAUGCAGUAUAAUAAUAUAAUAUAUAUAUUUUUUUUUUUUUUUUUUUAAGACGGCGUUUCGUGCAGGCAAUUGUAAUACAGAUUUAAAAUUUGUUAACGUAAAUUGGGCGAGGGGUAAAAUCGAUGAGAUAAUAUUUUUAUAUUUUCACAUUAUAAAAUACAUGUAGUGCGAGUUGCCAAAAUCCACAUAUUGUAAUAUAAACUAAUAUUCGCGUAUAUUUUUGAAACUUGCAUAACCACUGCAGUAUAACUAGUAGGUACUUAUAUAGUUGGAUAAAUACAUUUUAAAAUAUUUAUAGAUAAAAUAAAAAAAAAUUAUUAAAACACCACCGAAAACGAAUAAAGGGAAACACAAUUUUUUCUAAAAUGUAAAAAUGAUAAUUUUUGUUUAUUAGUUUGUUUUAAAGUUGUGUAUACAUAAAUUGGUAUUUACCUCUAUACCUAGUUUAUAUUCAAGUUUUAAUAGUAAUAAUAUGUUUUUAAACCUCGUGAAAUUACCAAUUAUAAAAUUGUAUGUCAGUACGACAGUCCACUGUGAUCACACAAUAUAUUGACAUUCGACAUUAAUACGAGAAAGUUAUUUUCUCAUCGUAUUUGUACCUAUAAUUGAAAUAUAUUUUUUUAAUACGCAUAGUUUUUGUCAGAUCUUGAAACAAAAUAUAAUUUUUUAAUUAUAGUCUCAUUGUAAACAUUAUCAAAGAUCAAAUCAUAUUUAAACCACAUUUAGGUUGGAACACAGAAAUUUAGUGGCUCCACCGGAGACCAAAUAAGCUUAACACUACUUAGAGUCAUUUUUAUUGGUAAAUUUAAGUGAUGAAAAUUGGAUUAAAUUUCAAUAUAAAUUUCAGAGCGUUGAUGUGGGAGUAGGUGUUUAUUUUUUAGAUUUAGGUACACCGUACCACAGACAAAUGAAGCAAGAUAUAUGAAAUUUUUGUAUCCGUAUGGUUUUGAGGGUUUUAAGUUUCAACAUUUGCUCCCACCAUUUUUAUGCUAAAAUGUAACCAAUUUUCUUUUUAAACAGUAUUAACUUGUAAUAUACAUACAUAUAGUACUGUAAUAUUAUAUUAUUUGUAUUCGGUUUCUUAUUGUUUUAAAAAAUAAUGCUUCUAGACAAUACGAAAUAGGCGGGGACAUUCGACGAAGAUUUAGCUGUCUCACAGAUGAUUUUUUUUUUUAAUAUACUAGUAUACACGCAGUUAAGUACGUUGAUGAAUAUAAUACAUUUAAAUCGGUUUACAACAAUUUCAGAUUGUUUUACAAUAAUAUAUAAUUUCUAUUAUGUAUAUAAUAAUUCCUGUUGCAGUAAUAAUUAUUAUAGUUUAUACUUAAAGAAUUACAUAUUUUAAUCCAAAUAUGUAUAAAUUCGUUGUAAUAUAAUAACGCGAGUGUUACACUAUAUAUAUAUAUUAAACAGCAACUAAUGAUGAUAUGUUUUGCUGACAGAAACAUUUUAAACGUGACUAUUUUUCAAAAAUAAAAUGAAAAUUGUACGGCGUCAUUAAAAUUAUAUUUGUCAUUUUGACAUCGUCUCCACUCGCUUUUGCAAUUCCGGGCGUGGAAAAACAAAACUUUUCGAAAGUCACCUUGGAAUGUGGGCAUUUUUUUUUUUUCGUAAAAAACUCAAUGGAAUCGAUUUUCACUCUAUAGUGAAGGCUUCACUAUAGAUGACGCUGUGGUAUUUUCGUUGCGAAAUUAGACGCAAAUUUUGUACAAUUAUGGCGUUAACUAUACUUAGUAACUUAGAUGAUUUUUUUCCGGUCCGCCUUUUUUUACUUGUUUAUUCCCUACAUUUUAGGAAGACCGUUAUAUUUUUACAGUGGUCGGCUAACUUUUAACUAACUGCCGAUUAAGCUAGUGUACAGUUUAAAUUAGCGGUGGCGUUGCAUGCGGAAAAAUAGAAACGAAUCAAUAGGUGCGUUGCCAAAACGGCGAGACAUUCGAAUACGACUUAAUCAAUUUCUAGUUUAUAUCGCAAUUACAAUAAUUUGUCCAAUGAAUGAAUAAUAAUGAAAUGUUCUGUUAUACAAACUGAUAAUGGUAAAUAAUUUAUUAUUUCAAUUUCUUGUCUACGCUUUCUAUAUAACGUCUUUCUCGUAGGGUUACUAAAUACGAGUGGGUAUAUGAUUAAAAAGCUACCACUAAUGGUUAUAGGUCAAAUAAAGUAGGUAUAUCGGGACAUUUUAUAGGAACAAAAUGUCCGCUAAAUGUGUUCGCGGACAUUGCAGCAACAAAACAGCCUUUACGCGGUUUUGUUUAUCGUUCGAAAGUGCCGCUUAUCGACAGUAAUAUUAUUCAUUCAAUUUUCAUAUGUCUGGUUGCCGUUAACGGCGGAAUCGAAUGACAUCGACGAUGAUCCAUCGCGUCAUCUGUCGUACCGCAGUGUUUCUGACGUCACGGAAUCUCCGUCAGCCGUGGCCUCGUGUAGACGCCGUCACCUUGAUUACCGCCGCCCGCAGCCGGUACGAAGCGGCGCGGUGGACUUCUCAGUGGUGACGGACGCGCGCGUAUACGAGACGAUAAUAAUAUUAUCGUGUUGCGCUGUUCACUACGCACUGCGGCGGUCUCCGCAAUCUGAUAUAAUAUAUUAUUGUUGGAAUCCGUUCCGCACUAUCGUCAAACUGCGCACAUUAAUUUUGUUUCGCCGUAUUAUAAUAUCAAAAAUCAUGUAAUUUUAUUACAAUAUUUGUUUCACUCCGUUUACCCGCCUUAUACAGCACGUCAUGAUAAAAAAUAUUAUAACGUAUUCCAAUAAUGACCUUGUGCCCCGUUGUUUUAUCCACAGAUGACAGCAAACACCACUGCAGUUAACAGAUAAACGCUCGUUCGGCCGCUUGUACACCCAGAGUCAAUCACAACGUACGACAAACGAGCGCGGACAACGAACAACUGCUGCAGAUACCGCGGCCGAC